rnacentral:rRNA from 1 species
UGGCGGCAGGCCUAACACAUGCAAGUCGAGCGGUAGCACAGAGAGCUUGCUCUCGGGUGACGAGCGGCGGACGGGUGAGUAAUGUCUGGGAAACUGCCUGAUGGAGGGGGAUAACUACUGGAAACGGUAGCUAAUACCGCAUAACGUCGCAAGACCAAAGUGGGGGACCUUCGGGCCUCAUGCCAUCAGAUGUGCCCAGAUGGGAUUAGCUAGUAGGUGGGGUAACGGCUCACCUAGGCGACGAUCCCUAGCUGGUCUGAGAGGAUGACCAGCCACACUGGAACUGAGACACGGUCCAGACUCCUACGGGAGGCAGCAGUGGGGAAUAUUGCACAAUGGGCGCAAGCCUGAUGCAGCCAUGCCGCGUGUGUGAAGAAGGCCUUCGGGUUGUAAAGCACUUUCAGCGGGGAGGAAGGCGA